GUACUCUGCAAUUUCUGAAAACAUUUCAAUCGUUUUUCUUAUUUUCAAAAAACAGUUGUUUCCUGUUUUUCUCGAAUUUCAUUUAUUUAUUAUUCUUACUUUAAGAGAACAGAAGCUACUACUCAUCCAGAGUCCAUACUAGAUUCUUGUAGUGAGGUAACAAAUUUCAGAUUUUGAACACAAAAAUCUGUGUCUCAAACUCGAUCAGACUUCAAAAACAUACUCAAAAUCAACUAUUUGACUCUUUCAUUUGCUUCUAAUUGAGAUGGGUAGGUCUCUAAUUUGCUUCUCAAACAUUCCUCUGAAAUUUUCUUACAUACCUAGAUCAUUUCCACCUCUCAAUCACUCAAACCAGUGCCUAUUUCUCAAACCCAGUAACAAUUUCUCAUCUGGGUAUAAAAAAGUUUCGACUUUGAGUACAAAACUGGGGAGAAACGUUUCUACAACGGCUGUGUUGUCUGAGACUUCUUAUCAGAAAGACUAUCCUAAAAUUGGUGCUAAAUCCACCGGACCUAUUCCUCCUAGCCAGCUCAUUCAAGUUGUUGAGACUGCUGCUAAAACUGGUGCUGAGGUUGUGAUGGAUGCUGUGAAUAGGCCUCGUAAUAUUACAUAUAAAGGGCUCACUGACUUGGUGACUGACACAGAUAAAAAUAGUGAGGCGGCUAUAUUAGAAGUUGUGAAAAAGAAUUUUGGAGAACACCUCAUUCUUGGAGAAGAGGGUGGAAUCAUCGGAGACACAACAUCUGAUUAUCUCUGGUGUAUUGAUCCUUUAGAAGCUUUUAUAAUUUACCACUUCUUUGCAAGUACCGAUGUACUGCAGCAAUUCUUGACCCUAGGGGUAACGGCUCGGGUCAACCAAAUGGAUGGAACAACAAACUUUGCACAUGGUUAUCCUAGCUUUGCUGUUUCUGUUGGAGUUCUAUUUCAAGGAAAUCCUGCUGCUGCUGCUGUGGUAGAGUUUGUGGGUGGCCCUAUGUGUUGGAAUACCCGUCUAUUUUCUGCAACUGCUGGUGGAGGAUCAUUCUGUAAUGGUCAAAAAAUUUACGUCAGUCAAACCAAUCAGGUGGAGCGAUCUCUUCUAGUGACUGGCUUUGGAUAUGAGCACGAUGAUGCAUGGGCAACUAAUAUAGAAUUAUUCAAGGAAUUUACUGAUGUCAGCCGGGGUGUGAGAAGACUUGGAGCUGCUGCUGUGGACAUGUGCCAUGUAGCUCUUGGGAUUGUAGAAAGCUAUUGGGAAUAUCGUCUAAAGCCAUGGGAUAUGGCUGCAGGUGUUUUGAUUGUUGAAGAGGCUGGCGGGGCAGUUACUCGCAUGGAUGGUGGAAAGUUUUGUGUGUUUGAUAGAUCUGUUUUGGUAUCCAAUGGUGUACUACAUGCUAAGCUUUUGGAGAGGAUUGCACCUCCAACUGAGAAAUUGAAGACUAAAGGAAUUGAUUUCUCGCUCUGGUAUAAGCCUGAUAAUUACCACACAGACAUUUGAAAGGUGCUAGAUUUCUUUUUUCUUCUGCCAGCUUGAUUAGAAGGCUCUUUGCAGACAUCAGCUUUGGGGUAGCCGAGGAAGUUGCAGGUUUGUGGGAACAUUUUUUCAUCUCUAUGAUAAAUGAGAUGCGGUAAAAAGCCAUUUGAGGGCAAAAACUCAUCGGAGUAAGCAUUGGUGUGCUAUUUUUUCCUUUCACCUGGUUAAAAACCCCUUAAGCAUGAAAAUAGCUUACAGGCGCAUACUAAUCCUUUUAAGCGCAACUGUAUGAAACAAUUUGUAACAGUUAAAAAUGCUACUAUAUAAAUUGAUUAUUUGUGGGCAAAGUUAAUCAGAGUGGCACAGUGGAAGCGAGGUGGCUAAGUGGAAACCUGUCUCUAACAGUGGCUUCUGGAAGCUUUUUGUUAAAUUUUCCUGGGUUGAACAACAUAAAUUUGUGCUAUUCUUACUAAUUUUAAGAUCUUACCUUUUGGGUGGGCA